CCCGGGGGACGGCGGCCCACACUGCGGGUUCGAAUCUGGGCGCUGGCACCUCUCGACGCUAGGCCCUAGGGCCGCGCCGGUCGCGGAUUUGGGGUGGAAGGCAGGCAUGGUCAAACCCAUUUCACUGACAGGAGAGCAGAGACAGGACG
rnacentral:sRNA from 1 species